rnacentral:tRNA from 1 species
UUAACUGAAGCCAAUAUUAGGCUUAUCACUGUUAAUGAUAGAAAGGCUUUAACCCCCUGUUAAA